GACGAACGCUGGCGGCGUGCUUAACACAUGCAAGUCGAACGGAAAGGCCCUGCUUUUGUGGGGUGCUCGAGUGGCGAAGGGGUGAGUAAAACGUGAGUAACCUGCCCUUGACUUUGGGAUAACUUCAGGAAACUGGGGCUAAUACCGGAUAGGAGCUCCUGCUGCAUGGUGGUGGUUGGAAAGUUUCGGCGGUUGGGGAUGGACUCGCGGCUUAUCAGCUUGUUGGUGGGGUAGUUGCUUACCAAGGCUUUGACGGAUAGCCGGCAUGGGAGGGUGAACAGGCACAUUGCGCCUGAGGGACGGCGCAGUAUGCAACCGGAGGCAGCAGUCGGGAAUAUUGCGCAGCGGGCGGGCGCGUGAUACGACAGCGUUGCGUGCGGGAUGACCGCCUUCGGGUUGAAAACCGAUUUGGACUGUGACGAGGAGGGAGUGACGGUAACGGGUCAAGAAGCAACGGCUAACUACGUG
rnacentral:rRNA from 1 species